CAGUCGCCGCGGUAAUACAGAGGGUGCAAGCGUUAAUUGGAAUUACUGGGCGUAAAGCGCGCGUAGGUGGUUCGCCAAGUUGGAUGUGAAAUCCCCGGGCUCAACCUGGGAACUGCAUCCAAAACUGGCGAGCUAGAGUAUGGUAGAGGGUGGUGGAAUUUCCUGUGUAGCGGUGAAAUGCGUAGAUAUAGGAAGGAACAUCAGUGGCGAAGGCGACCACCUGGACUGAUACUGACACUGAGGUGCGAAAGCGUGGGGAGCAAACAGGAUUAGAGACCCCUGUAGUCCCUGUCUCUUAUAC
rnacentral:rRNA from 1 species